rnacentral:rRNA from 1 species
UACAUGGGGUGCAAACGUUGCUCGGAAUUAUUGGGCGUAAAGGGCGCGUAGGCGGCCACGCACGUCCGUUGUGAAAUCGCCCGGCUCAACUGGGCGGGGUCAGCGGAUACGGUGUGGCUCGAGCAAGCUAGGGGCAAUGGAAUUCCCGGUGUAGUGGUGGAAUGCGUAGAUAUCGGGAGGAACACCAGUGGCGAAGGCGGUUGCCUGGAGCUUUGCUGACGCUGAUGCGCGAAAGCGUGGGGAGCGAUCCGG